GAUAUUAAUUAUUGCUUUAAGCCAUUUACUGAGCACCUACUAGUUGGCUUUCCAUACUCAUUGAGAAUACCAAGAAGAAUAAGCUCAUUUCUUAUGCUGAAGAGGAGACAGACAUGCAAAUCAAGAAGUGGACACAUUACAAAAUGACCCAGGAGACACUGAGGGCCUCUGCUCCAUCCUUGCCAAUUCUGAGAAUAGUGCAGCCACAAGGAGGAUUGUUCUGAGGCUUCUCACAGGGCACAAAACCCCCACGCACUGUCCUCUGGCCACCUACAGCCUCUCUGACUCUGCACUGCCUCUGACCCUGCACUGCCUGCUUGAGCAAAGCAGUCUUUGAAAACCAUUUCCAGCCUGGCUAAUGAUGCAGUGCUUUGAAAAGUGCCACCAGGAUGAAAAACAGCUCACAAAUGGGGACUCCUCGUUAUUUUACCAGCACAGCCGGCAAGAAGCUCCUGCCAAGCAAGAUCAAACUUCUCAGGAAUGUUUUGAAAAGCUGGUGGAAACAAGGGCCUCUGUCACAUUUCUGUCACACCUCACCCCAGCAUGUGGGGAAAGCUCUCUUGGAACGAAUGUUAGUCGGUCUCAGAAACACACAAAAUUGAUGUCUCCAGCAGCAUUGCCAUUUCCACUGCAGACUUAAAGCUAUAUCUUUCUGGAUUCUAAUGCAGAAAGGGAACAGUUAGAGAAUCCAUCCAGGCUUUUUCUAAAAUGAGAGCCGGUUAAAGAUGCUGUUUAAAAAGGUGCCUCUCAAAGCUUCCCUCCUGACCUUCCAUACCAAAAGCCUGAGCUUAAUUACCUACAUAAUUUUCCUGGCUCCUGUGCUGUGGUCCAGGGGCCCUCUCUGUCCACCGGAAGCUAAGCCAUCUGUCGGACAUCUCUCUCUGGACUCCCCAGGGUUCCCUCUCACCUACACAUCUCGAUUAGCAGAUGACAGUUCUGCUAUAAUGUUUAUUUUACCUCUAACAGAUUUUCAGCUAAGUAGGUGAAGGGGCGGAGGUUCCCUGCCCAGAGCCAGUUCUGGGCUUCCUUUGGCUCCUCCUUCCAGUCUGCUAGGAAAAGGAACCUGGAGGCCUUUAGGAGGGAGGAGAGAUCACAUUUUCUUUGCCAUUGAGUAGUGAAGGUCAGGCCCUCCUUGCCAGCCACAAAGCAGAGAAUUGUUUGUUUAUUUCUCCGAGUAGCACUGUUCUGUCUCUGUGAGCAGCAGACAAAACCAGAAAAGGGAAUUCAUUCUGUGGAGCAGACCAAAGGCAGGGGGAAAACUUGUCCUUUGGAAAGAUAAAAGCAAAUUCAAUGAAGUGAUCAUCUUAAAUCUUCUAGUUAUUCUUCCCCUCCACCACCUUUCACCCCCAAUCUGAGUUUUCCUGGGAUUUAGGUAAGAACCCAUGAGAGAAAUGAGAUAUGGCAGAUAGAGAUGAGAGCAGCAAUAGGAACUUGGGGUGGAAAGGUGUGCAUUCAUCUAUAGAUCACUCAGCCAAAUAAGCCACUUAGAGAGUCCAGGCCCACAUUAAUUCCUUUGAUGACUCAGUGACGAGCAGAAUGCAUUUGCAAUACAGUAAGGCCAGAAACCUGGAAGAAGCAUCCUCCAUUCCUCCCUCUCUCUUAUCCUCCACACCUAAGCCAUGAUCAAUCUUACAGAGUCUGACUCCUAAAUAUCUGUCAAACUCACGCUCUUCUCUCCAUUUCCAUGGCUACUGCUGUAAUUCAGCACCAUCGAUUCCUGCCCAAAUGAUUGACACAGCUUUCUAAUUAGGCUGUUUGCCCCUUCCAAUCUACUCCCCACAUAGCACCCAGAGAAACCUUUCACAGGUGCAAAUCUUAUGCCAUUUUCUGGAUAAAACCCUUCAAGAUCUUAUUUCCUCCUCUCUUCUCCAGGCCCUAGUUUUAUGCUGAAAGCCCCAAGUCCUGCAUAAUUUGGUUCCUGCUUAUUUCUCCAGCCUUAACCCUUACAGCUUCCUGCUUCAAACAGUAGGCUCUAGCAAACUUAGCUUUUCUUUUGCAAAAUAGACCAAAUGCUCUUUCACUUUUGUGCCAUCAUGCAUGCUGUUUUCUCUGCUUGGAACAAUCUUUUUGAUACUCCCAGCCUUCCUUAAUUAGCUAUUUCCUACCUGAACUUUAGGUCUCAACUAAAAUGUCACUUCCUCUAGAAAGACUUUACUAGCCCUCAAGGCAGUUGAGCUAGAAGUUUCCUCUGUGCUCCCAUAGCAACUUAUGGAUUCACACGGCCCAGUUGUAAGAGCCAAGAGAG